rnacentral:rRNA from 1 species
AUGAACGCUAGCUACAGGCUUAACACAUGCCAGUCGAGGGGCAGCAUGAUUGAAGCUUGCUUCAAUCGAUGGCGACCGGCGCACGGGUGAGUAACACGUAUCCAACCUGCCGAUAACUCGGGGAUAGCCUUUCGAAAGAAAGAUUAAUACCCGAUAGUAUAGUAUUUCCGCAUGGUUUCACUAUUAAAGAACUUCGGUUAUCGAUGGGGAUGCGUUCCAUUAGAUAGUUGGCGGGGUAACGGCCCACCAAGUCAACGAUGGAUAGGGGUUCUGAGAGGAAGGUCCCCCACAUUGGAACUGAGACACGGUCCAAACUCCUACGGGAGGCAGCAGUGAGGAAUAUUGGUCAAUGGACGAGAGUCUGAACCAGCCAAGUAGCGUGAAGGAUGACUGCCCUAUGGGUUGUAAACUUCUUUUAUACGGGAAUAAAGUGGAGUAUGCAUACUCCUUUGUAUGUACCGUAUGAAUAAGGAUCGGCUAACUCCGUG